ACGAACGCUGGCGGCGUGCUUAAGACAUGCAAGUCGCACGGUCCCGCAAGGGACAGUGGCGGACGGGUGAGUACACGUGGAUAACCUGCCUGACUCCCCGGGAUAACAGGCCGAAGGCCUGCUAAUACCGGGUAAGCUCACGGAGGCCGCAUGGCACCGGGAGAAAAGGCCCUGCAAGGGGUUGGGGACAGAGGGAGGUCCGCGGUCCAUUAGCUAGUUGGAGGGGUAACGGCCCACCAAGGCGACGAUGGAUAGCCGGCCUGAGAGGGCGACCGGCCACACUGGGACUGAGACACGGCCCAGACUCCUACGGAAGGCAGCAGUCGGGAAUUUUGGGCAAUGGCCGAAAGGGCUGACCCAGCAACGCCGCGUGAGUGAAGAAGGCCUUCGGGUUGUAAAGCUCUGUUGCUCGUGAAGAACGGUACUGUGAGGAAAUGCGCAGUACUUGACGGUAGCGAGUGAGGAAGCCCCGGCUAACUACGUGCCAGCAGCCGCGGUAAUACGUAGGGGGGCGAGCGUUUGUCCGGAUUUAUUGGGCGUAAAGGGCGUGUAGGCGGUCUGUUAAGUCGGGAGUGAAACUCCGCAGCUCAACUGCGGACCUGCUUCCGAUACUGGCGGACUUGAGUACUCUAGAGGGCAGUGGAAUUCCCGGUGUAGCAGUGAAAAUGCGUAGAGAUCGGGGAGGAACACCAGUGGCGAAGGCGGCUGCCUGGGGAGAAACUGACGCUGAUGCGCGAAAGCUGGGGGAGCAAACGGGAUUAGAUACCCCGGUAGUCCCAGCCGUAAACGAUGAGUGCUAGGUGUAGGGGGUAUCGACCCCUCCUGUGCCGCAGUUAACGCAAUAAGCACUCCGCCUGGGGAGUACGGCCGCAAGGUUGAAACUCAAAGGAAUUGACGGGGGCCCGCACAAGCAGCGGAGCAUGUGGUUUAAUUCGAAGCAACGCGUAGAACCUUACCAGGGCUUGACAUGUAAGGAACCCUUCAGAGAUGAGGGGGUGCCCCUUCGGGGGAGCCUUAACACAGGUGGUGCAUGGUUGUCGUCGGCUCGUGUCGUGAGAUGUUGGGUUAAGUCCCGCAACGAGCGCAACCCCUAUCGUAUGUUGCCAGCAGGUAAAGCUGGGCACUCAUGCGAGACUGCCGGUGACAAACCGGAGGAAGGUGGGGAUGACGUCAAAUCAUCAUGCCCCUUAUGUCCUGGGCGACACACGUGCUACAAUGGGCGCCACAAAGCGAACCGAAACCGCGAGGUGGAGGAAACCGCAAAAGGCGCUCGUAGUUCAGAUCGCAGGCUGCAACUCGCCUGCGUGAAGCCGGAGUUGCUAGUAAUCGCUGAUCAGCACGCAGCGGUGAAUACGUUCCCGGCCUUGUACACACCGUCCGUCACACCAUGGGAGCUGGUAACACCCGAAGUCGGUGCGCUAACACGUAAGUGAGGCAGCCGCCGAAGGUGGGGCCGGUGACUGGGGUG
rnacentral:rRNA from 1 species